AGACAUAUUAGGCGCAUUCAAAGUAAUGAAAUACAUCAUCAUUAUCUUGGCCACACUAUUCCGAAUGAGUUGAUUUCUCUCCUUGCUGACGCCGUGAAAAAGGUUAUCUUACGCACCAUCAAGGAUGCCAAGUAUUUCUCUGUUAUAUUGGACUGUACCUCGGAUGUGAGCCAUGAAGAGCAAAUGACGCUAAUUGUGCGUUGUGUCAAUAUGUCAAGUAACAUUCUGAGAGUGGAGGAGUUUUUCCUAGAGUUCUUAAAGGUUGAUGACACAUCAGGAUUGGGUCUUUUUAAUGUACUGAUGGAUACAUUGGAUUCUUUUGAUUUGAAUGUCGCCGAUGUGAGAGGGCAAGGUUAUGACAAUGGCUCCAACAUGAAGGGAAAAAAUCAAGGUGUUCAGACUCGAUUGAUCAAAGUUAACCCCAAAGCAUUAUACAUGCCAUGUGCAUGUCAUAGUUUGAAUCUCACUCUUUGCGACAUGGCGAAAUCUUGCGAACAAGCUAUUUCAUUUUUUGGUAUUAUACAACGUAUUGUUUGCACGUUCUACUAA
rnacentral:rRNA from 1 species